rnacentral:tRNA from 1 species
GCCGGCGUAGCUCAAGCGGCAGAGCAACUGACUUGUAAUCAGUAGGUUAUGGGUUCAAGUCCCAUCGCCGGCU